CCCUUCGGGGUGAAGCUCGUGGAACGAGCGGCGGACGGGUGAGUAACACGUGGGCAACCUGCCUGUAAGACCGGAAUAACCCCGGGAAACCGGGGCUAAUGCCGGGUAAUACUUUUCUUCGCAUGAAGGAAAGUUGAAAGAUGGCUUCUUGCUAUCACUUACAGAUGGGCCCGCGGCGCAUUAGCUAGUUGGUGAGGUAACGGCUCACCAAGGCGACGAUGCGUAGCCGACCUGAGAGGGUGAUCGGCCACACUGGGACUGAGACACGGCCCAGACUCCUACGGGAGGCAGCAGUAGGGAAUCUUCCGCAAUGGACGAAAGUCUGACGGAGCAACGCCGCGUGAACGAUGAAGGUCUUCGGAUCGUAAAGUUCUGUUGUUAGGGAAGAACAAGUACCGUGCGAAUAGAGCGGUACCUUGACGGUACCUAACGAGGAAGCCCCGGCUAACUACGUGCCAGCAGCCGCGGUAAUACGUAGGGGGCAAGCGUUGUCCGGAAUUAUUGGGCGUAAAGCGCGCGCAGGCGGUUCCUUAAGUCUGAU
rnacentral:rRNA from 1 species